rnacentral:rRNA from 1 species
AGUUUUUAGUCUUGUUAAUAGGUUAAAGUUAUAAUGUUUAUGAAAGAAAAAUAAUUUUAAAAUUAUGAGGAAGUAAUUUUUAAUGAAAAGGAGUAAAUAACUAUAAAGUAUAAGUACUGUAAAGGAAAGAUUUGUAGCAUAAUUAUUAAAGUAAAAAAGAAUAAAUAAAAUUUAGUACCUUGUGUAUCAGGGAAAAUUAAUAUAGUUAAAAUAACAUUAAGAUCUCGAAAUAAAAAUAGUUAAUUUUAUAAGAGAGUUUUCAUAGGAUAUAAAUUUUGAAUAUAAAGUUAAAGGUGAAAUGUUAGUCGAGUUUUAUAAUAUCUAGUUUUUUAAAAGGAAAAUUUAAUUUGGUUUUUAUAUAAAUAUUAAUAUAAAAAGAUACAAUAGGAAGGAUAAGCUUUUUAUUAUAAUGAGUGAAAUAGUAAUAUAAAAUGAUUUAAAUGACCUAAGCUUAAAAAUAGCUAUGCUUAUAAAGUGUUUUAAUUAAGUUAUUUACAAAUAAAGUGGGGUACUUUUCUUAGAAAUUAAAAAUUUAUUUGAAACAAAAAAGGAUAAGGUAAAAUGAUUUUAUUAGUAUAAUAGGAGUAUUGUGAAUGUUUAAUGAUUAAAUAAUUUAUUAAAUGUUAAUAAUUAUAAUAGGGUACAGGAACUCGGCAAAGAUUUUCUUGCCUGUUUAUCAAAAACAUGUCUACUUGAAGGUAUAAGAAGUCUGACCUGCCCGCUGACAGAAUUAGUAGUUUAAGGGCCGCGGUAUUAUGACCGUGCAAAGGUAGCAUAAUCAUUAGGUUUUUAAAUGAGAUCUUGUAUGAAUGGUUUGACAAAGGGAAAGCUGUCUUUAAGUUAGUAUUUGAAUUUAACUUUUAAGUGAGAAGGCUUAAAAUAUUUUAGUAGGACGAUAAGACCCUAUAAAGCUUUAUAUUGUAGUUAUAUUUAAUUGAAUUUUAUAGAUAAAAAUUUUAUAUAAUUAUUUAUUUUGUUGGGGAGACAUAAGUAAAAAUUAUAUUAACUGCUUAAAAAAUAAACAUUUAUUGAUGGAUAAAUUAUAGAUCCUAGAUAUAGAUUAAAAGAUUAAGUUACUUUAGGGAUAACAGUGUAAUUUUUUUUGAGAGUCCAUAUCGAAAAAUAAGUUUGCAACCUCGAUGUUGAAUUAAAUUAUCUAUAUAAUGUAGCUGUUAUAUAAGAAGGUCUGUUCGACCUUUAAUUCUUU